rnacentral:rRNA from 1 species
CGCCUCUUGUAUACAUAUAAGAGGUCCAGCCUGCCCAGUGACUAAAUUCAACGGCCGCGGUAUCCUAACCGUGCGAAGGUAGCGUAAUCACUUGUUCUUUAAAUGAGGACUAGUAUGAAUGGCACCACGAGGGUUAUACUGUCUCCUUUUUCUAAUCAAUGAAACUGAUCUCCCCGUGAAGAAGCGGGGAUAAGACUACCAGACGAGAAGACCCUAUGGAGCUUCAAACAACAUAGCAAUGGCUUAUUUACCAAUAUAAUUUCAGAAUACCUACACUUAUCAUAGCCUUUUGACUAUUAGUUUUGGGUUGGGGUGACCACGGAGCAAAACCUAACCUCCAUGUUGGAUAGAUCUCCUCUUGAGCCAAAAGCCACAACUUUAAGCACCAAUAAACUGACAUAAAUUGACCCAAUAUUUUGAGCAACGAACCAAGUUACCCUAGGGAUAACAGCGCAAUCCACUUCAAGAGCCCCUAUCGACAAGUGGGUUUACGACCUCGAUGUUGGAUCAGGGUAUCCCAGUGGUGCAGCCGCUACUAAAGGUUCGUUUGUUCAACGAUUAAAACCCUA